UCUGUAAAAACAUGCUCUUUCAUGUCUCAAAUGAGCUAAGAUAGUGGUGGUAGGAUGAGAUGGUGUAGGCUUGUAGGCCCCUUGCAGGCCAGGGUCAUUUGAGGACUGCAGUGAGGUUAAGGUCGGCCAGGCAGGCCUAGGCCAGGAGGAGAAAAUGUUCUCUUCCCCUUACCUCAUGUUGCAAGGCCUAAAUGCCUGGAUCAGCAGGAAGUGGCUCUUGCCUCGCUUAAAGUGUGUCUUUCUAAUCAGAAGUGUUCUUUCUAAAGACAAAGAACAUGUUGUCUCCAAAGGAAGGAUGGCUAAGAGAAUUCUUUAUUCUGCAAGCAUAAACAGGAUGUAUUUUGUUCUUAUUGCAUUUCGUGUAUAUUUCACUUCACGGAUGUUGGCUUGAUACAUUGUUAUGUUUAUCUGAUCUCUGCAAGUAUAUAGCUACGUGAGAAAUAAACGGCAGUAUGCAGUUGCAAGUGCUGCCUUUGCUCUGCAUCCCCUGUGUCCUGGUGAUUUCGUAGACCCUUACCCAGGGACCCCAACGCACUAGACGUUGACAAUUGGUGCCCGAACAGGGACCCUGAAGGACGUACAGGAAGGAUUUUUAUUUAUUUAUUCAUGAGAGACAGAGAGAGAGAGGCAGAGGGAGAAGCAGGCUCCCAAGAAGCAGAGAGCCCGAUGCGGGACUCGAUCCCAGGACCCUGGGAUCAUGACCUGAGCCGAAGGCAGACGCUUAACCAUCUGAGCCACCCAGGCGCCCGACACUCUUAUUCUUUAUAUAUUGUUUAUUGCACCGCAGAGUACGUUCAUGGUUAUUCCUGAUAUCCUGCCAAUCUACCUUUGACAUGGAUCCAUGGUAAUUUGGAAGUCUCAUUUGGGCACCAGGACUGAUAAAGAAUUUCUGGAGAAUUGUCUUCCUGGAUAGAUGUGCAUUAUGUUAAGCUUUGUGGAGGCUUCAUCACGAGCUGGGUGUCUACGGGUGUGGUUUGUUCUGUUCAUAUUUGUAACUGUGUUCCUUGCUAGUGCUGGAACUCAGGCACAUUGCCCUCUGCUGUUGCCUGAUACUUAAUAAGAGCUGCUUUCCCCCCUGUUAUUUUAGUGGGGUUUUGUAAUCUAUUUUUGCUUUGAGGACAAGAAGAGUAAUCUUCUUGCAGAGAAAUGCUUCCAAAAGUUUUUGCCAUUUUUCUUCAGAUGUGUCCAAUCUUGCACUCUUAAAUGUAUCCCUUAGCUAUAGCUGUGUGUGU